GUACACGCUGUGACUAGCAUAUCAAUAAGCGGAGGAAAAGAAACUAACAAGGAUUCCCUUAGUAACGGCGAGUGAAGCGGGAAGAGCUCAAAUUUGAAAUCUUCAAGGUUUUACCUUGACGAAUUGUAGUUUAAAGAAGUGUUUUCUGUUGAAGUUUUGGUAAAAGUUCUUUGGAAUAGGACAUCAUAGAGGGUGAGAAUCCCGUAUUUGACCAUUUACUUUUCAGCUUUGUGAUACACUUUCAAAGAGUCGGAUUGUUUGGGAAUGCAGUCCAAAAUGGGUGGUAAAUUUCAUCUAAAGCUAAAUAUUGGCGAGAGACCGAUAGCGAACAAGUACCGUGAGGGAAAGAUGAAAAGAACUUUGAAAAGAGAGUUAAACAGUACGUGAAAUUGUCAAAAGGGAAGCGUUUGACACCAGUGUUGUUUUCUCGAAAAUCAAUUAAAAAUGGCUCGAUUUUGUAUUGCUGAGACCUUAAAAGCUCACUGUACAUUUUUCGUGUCUUUUUUAAUGCACUUUUCGUUUAACAAGUCAACAUCAGUUUCUUUUGUUGUAAAAGGGUCAUUGGAAGGUGGCUUUCUUUUCGGAGAAAGUGUUUAUAGCCUUUGGCCUCUGCAAUCGGAGAGACUGAGGUCUGCAGCGUAGACUCUUCGGGGUUAGAUACAUUUGUGCUAAGUUGAUAGCUUUUUAUAGACAACUUGUUGACUAUAAUUAGUCUUGUAGCUUACUCGCUUAUGCUAUUUUACCUACGCUUAGGAUGUUGAACUACUGAGACAUAGA
rnacentral:rRNA from 1 species